UACGUAGGGGGCAAGCGUUGUCCGGAUUUAUUGGGCGUAAAGCGCGUGUAGGCGGCUCGGUAAGUCUGCUGUGAAAGUCCAGGGCUCAACCCUGGAAUGCCGGUGGAUACUGUCGAGCUCGAGUCCGGAAGAGGCGAGUGGAAUUCCUGGUGUAGCGGUGAAAUGCGCAGAUAUCAGGAGGAACACCAAUGGCGAAGGCAGCUCGCUGGGACGGUACUGACGCUGAGACGCGAAAGCGUGGGGAGCAAACAGG
rnacentral:rRNA from 1 species